GGCUCGGGCGGCAGUGUCGGCGGCGCGUGCGCGCCCCGGAUCCGGCGGCCACCCAGAGGAGAAGGCCACCCUGCCCGGAGGCACAGGCCAUGUGGGGCUCUCAGGAGAUGCUACUGGUGUGGCUUCUGGUGUUGGCAGCGGGCGGCACGGAGCACGCCUACCGCCCAGGCCGUAGGGUGUGUGCCGUCGGGGCUCACGGGGACCCUGUCUCUGAGUCCUUCGUGCAGCGCGUGUACCAGCCCUUCCUCACCACCUGUGACGGGCACCGGGCCUGCAGCACCUACCGAACCAUCUAUAGGACCGCCUACCGCCGCAGCCCUGGGCUGGCCCCCGCCAGGCCUCGGUACGCAUGCUGCCCCGGCUGGAAGAGGACCAGCGGGCUUCCCGGGGCCUGUGGAGCAGCAAUAUGCCAGCCACCGUGCCGGAACGGAGGGAGCUGCAUCCAGCCUGGCCGCUGCCGCUGCCCUGCAGGAUGGCAGGGUGACACCUGCCAGUCAGAUGUGGACGAAUGCAGUGCUGGGGGGGCCGGCUGUCCCCAGCGCUGCGUCAACACCGCCGGCAGUUACUGGUGCCAGUGUUGGGAGGGGCACAGGCUGUCUGCAGAUGGUACACACUGCGUGCCCACGGGAGGGCCCCCCAGGGUGGCCCCCAGCCUGACAGGUAAACUCAGCCCUGGCUGGGCCUGGCCUGGGGAGGUGGGCAGGCAGUGGACACUGCCAUGUGGCUCUGUGUUAGGCAUGGUGAGGGGCACUGGAACCUGGGUGGAAGGUGGUGGGGGCUCCCUCUCCAGGGAGGGAAGAUGGGGCGGGAGGACAGGUGGGUUCCUGAGAACUGGGGGCAGGUUGCCUGGAGCCUCAUGGUCAGCCAAGAAGGCGGAAGUGCCUGUCUGCGUGCAGUGCAGCAUUCUGGAAGACGCCACGCCUCCGCUGGUGAUGGGACAUUAUUACUUUUGGUACGCGCUGUGACACUUCAAACUCGUACCGUGAGUAAUAAUGCGCUGUCCACAGCACCGCAUCGAAAGCGCCGCUGACACCACAGCUCCGACCUCCCUCAGCGUGGCCGGGACCCUGAGCAGCUGCGCAGAGCCAUGCGCCCCGGUGUACUUAGGUGGCACAGCCCUGAGAUCUCUGGCCAACGCCAGGCAGGCGUGAGGGCUGGCAGAGGCCUGGAUCUGAGUCUUCGGGCUCUGCCUCUCCCUGGGGACAGGAGGGAGCCUGGGGGUGUGGGUGGGGAGCCGGCCGACCCUGACCCAGCACCUGGCUCUGCCCCCAGGAGUGGACAGUGCAAUGAAGGAGGAAGUGCAGAGGCUGCAGUCCAGGGUGGACCUGCUGGAGGAGAAGCUGCAGCUGGUGCUGGCCCCACUGCACAGCCUGGCCUCGCAGGCACUGGAGCACGGGCUCCCGGACCCCGGCAGCCUCCUGGUGCACUCCUUCCAGCAGCUGGGCCGUAUCGACUCCCUGAGUGAGCAGAUCUCCUUCCUGGAGGAGCAGCUGGGGUCCUGCUCCUGCAAGAAAGACUCGUGACUGCCCGGCGCCCCAGGCCGGACUGAGCCUUUCACCCUGCCCUGCAGCCCCCAUGCCCCUGGGCGACAUGCUGGGGGUCCAGACACCACUUCGGGGUGACUGAGCCUCAGGGUGACUCAGUGGAAGGCCAGGCAGGGCCCUCUUCCUCUUCCUCCUCCCCUUCCUCUUCCUCCUCCCCUUCCUCAGGAGGCUCCCAAGGCUCUGGCAUGGGGUGGGCUGGGGUCUUCUGUGUCAAUCCAUCCCUAGCCAGCCCAACGGCAUCCCAAGGCCAGGUGGGCCCUCAGCCGAGGGAAGGUACGAGCUCACGGACUCUGCUGGAGACUGGGACCCGUGGCACAGGCCAGGCAGCCCGGAGGCUGGGUGGGGCUUCAGUGGGGGCUGCUGCCUGAGCCCCAGCAGAAUAAAAAUGAAAUGUGA